CGUCCGUCCGUCCAUCCGUCCGUCCAUCCGUCCGUCCACCCGUCCGUCCACCCACCCACCCACCCACCUACUAUCAAAUAUGAGUUUUGGCAACCAUCAGGUCCUCGUGUUUGCCUGGUAAGCACUCCAUCACUUGACUUCCUACUCCAGCCUUCACACGUGGUACUUCUAUGUAUAUUUCCAUUGUGUAAGCUUUAGUGAUGGGGAUUUCUGAUUCAUCAAAGUUAAUUCUGUCAAUUUGUUUGGGAUGUGGUGGAAAGGAGAGUUAAUUGCAGCGCUGGGAGCUCUAACACAUUAUCGCACAUGCUUGUGCACAUAUGUGACAGAGAACAGACAUCCUGAGUCUGGAUAACUUCUACUUAUUGACCUUGGAAGCUAUAAUAUAGUUUCCCAAAGGAAUUCCAGAAGUCUUGACUGGGGCCCAACAUCCUCCAUAAGAAGGUUGGCUGUGAGUCCUAUAUGCUGGAAGGCUCUCUACAGAUUCAGUCUCCUGUGUUACCCAAAACUCACUUCUUCUCAUGUUGGUUUUUGAACAACAAUAUUGGCAACAACAGAAUAAACAAACAUCUCUCGUGUAUGCAGCAGGCCAUUUCUUUUCAAAUGGAUUUGGAUGGCAUAAUUUGUUCAUUUGUCUAACCCUCUUUUACCAAGAUCAGAAGAGACAAAAAUCUUAUAGAAAGUGAUUGAAAAGAAUAAUAGAGGCUAGACCAACGGACUCAGUGGUUAAAGAGUACUUUCUGCUCCUGUGGAGAACCUGGCUUUAUUUCUUAGGACACACAUGGCAUUUCACAACUGCCGUGACUCCAGUCUUAGGGGAUUUGCUGUCUACUUUUGACCUCUGAGAGCAUCGGACACACAUGUGGUCCACAAACAUACACACAGGCAAAACACUCACAUAAAAUAAUAAAUAAACCUUAAAAAAAAAACUUAAACCUGUGAACAUAUCAAGACCUUAGACAGGGAACAAACCAACCUCUAACAAUUCAAUGGAUUUAUUCAGCAGGUGUAGGUGUAGGUGUAUUUCUAAAUCUCUCAAAAUUUCUGACCAACUGCAUUAAGAAGAUCUGAGAAAACAGUGCUAAACUCUUUCCAGAUGGUGCAUUUGUGUAACACUCUUCCUGACCUGCUACCACACUCACACUUUGUAGCAGAUAUAUACAAGUGUUUCCUGGGUGAGAACAGGUCACAAGGGAGAGGCUGCCUUAAAGGGGAUUUGUAUUAAUGUCUGACUGAGUUCUUGAGCCCAUGCUGGGCUCUACCGCCAACUUUGAGCCAUCCUAGGAAUAUUCCUCAGUCCCCCGUAAACUUCCGCAUCAACCAAUAAUGUGGCUAGUUUAAAGAGUUUUACUAAGGACAGUGAAAUGAAGAAUGGCUGGCCUGGCCUGGCCUGGCAGUAUAUGCCUUUAAUUCCAGCACUCAGGAGGACAGAGGCAGGUGGCUAUCUAUGAGUUCAAGGCCAGCCUUGUCUACAUAGUGAGUUCCAGGACAGUCAUGGCCAUGUAGACAGAGACUCUGUCUCAAGAUACAUAAACAAAUGAAAAAAAAUAAUGUCUGGCCCAUGGGGCUGGGAAAAUGGCAUAGUUGGUAAAAUACCUGCCAGGCAAGCAUGAGGCUCUUAGUUUUCUCUAUUAGUCAAACAGAAGAAGAGGAGAGGGGAAUGUUGCUUCUGUUGUCAUUGUAGCUGUGUGUUUUAUUUUUGGAGGGAGGUUGCAAGGUGGGGGUGUAUGGUGCUAAUUCACAAAGAAUCAAUAAAAAGUUAAAAACAAAACAAAACACAACAACAAAACUGAGAAGUUUCUCAGCCGUCCCUGGGACACUGAGGAGAAGUUUCUCAGCCGUCCCUGGAACCUGGAGGCUGAACUUGGGCUACUUCGUGGGUUCUUUUUCCUUCCAUCCUUCUCUACCUUUUCCCCAUCCCUUCAACUCCACAACACUGUAUAGAAGAGGGAAAAGGAUAGAAAGGAAAGGAGGCAAAAUUAUCAGUAUACUACUUCCUGUUGAUCACAGCCAUUGAGUUCCCUGGGGCAAGUUUGAAUCCACUGUCAGGAUAUCUAAUUUCUUCUUUUUCUAUUACUUCUUCACAUGUGACUACUUAACAAACCAUGACCAACAGCAACCAACCAACGACCCACCACACCUUUCAGGGCCCUAGCAUUAAUAUACCCUCUGAAAAGUCCCCAGAGUUCUAAAUGUCACACAACACAUAAACCGUAUGCCACUGGCAAAACCACACUCCUGCAUGAGGGGAGUCCCAGUCAGCUGCUGUGGACAAUCUGAAGCAGCCCCAUAUCCCGCACCCCGGAUUAAAAUGAAAGCCCAGUCCUACUUCUGUGGUUUUGUUUUUUUAAAGAAACCAAAGUUCUCACUGCAGACACCAAAAGAGGCCAGGGAUUCUAUGUCUACCCAUGGUCUGGGUCCAUCUGACUAUGAGUGCAGUCCUGUGAUACUCUCAUUAAUAACUGAAAUUAUGUACUACAAGUGGAAAUUUGAAAAAUGCUUGUCCAUUUAGGUUCAUGUAUAUUUUGGGGGCAGAUUUAAUGUUUUCCCAGCACUUGAGACCCUGAGACCUAUUGUGUGAGUGACCUUCCAGGGCAUGGAAGAGAACGGACAGAACAGCCAGUCAACCGACUGCAGGCUCCAUGAGCAAGUCCUCAAUGGGACCAGCUGAACCUCUCACACAAUGGGAUGCCCAAGCCCUGUCUAGAAUGCUGAUUUACAGCAGUGUGAGGUAAACAAGUGACCGCUUCGGGCCCCUAGAUUUGGGGGUAUUCUGUGACAAAACGUAAGUGACAUUUUCUAAAACCCGAGUGUCCCGCUUUCCUGCUUGUUUUACAUACUACUAUGUUCUUAGAACAAAUUAUUAUUAUUUUUUUGUUUAGUUGAGUGGGCUUCUAUUCCUUGUCACACAAGCUAUUUAGCAACAAAGUCACAGGUAGAUGACAAGAUGGGGUCUGUAGGGUCUGUGGGGUCUGUGGGUAGGUAGGCAUUGGUAGUUAGAACCCUUUAGGCUUGUCUGGCUACUGGGCAAAACCAUUUCAGCUCCAUUACUCUUCUUAACCGACGCUCACACUGUCCACAAGGUGAUGGGACAGUUCUACAACACAAAGACAAGCCUCUAGCUCUAAGUAAUGAGCUGUCAUUGUACCAGAGAGUCUUUCUGGGACAAGAAAUUCAAUGCCUUUGGCCUGGGUGAACCUAAGCUGAAGUGUGUGUGUGUGUAUGUGUGUGUGCGUGUGAUGUGAAAAUACCAUAUAUGUAGCCUUGUGCUCUACACUUGGGCAUUGCUAGGGACCAUCUUGAAUCUCCUUUGCAGCUAAACAUGCAGUAGUACACUAGGUGGUAUCUGUUGCCUCACCUAUGCACUUGUGACAGAAGUCAAGCUGAGCCUAACAGUACCUACAGCUAGGUAUUCUGUCCCAUGAGAAACCCUGAGACCCGGGUCAUGGCCUAUUAUAACUGUGUUUUAGGAAUGGGGACACUAAGGCCUCCAUGGAGGUUCAGUGAUCAGCUAAAGUCAUACAAGGAGAGAAGCUAAGAUCUGAGACAAGAAGGAAUGACAUUGCAUGUAGCCUCUGUAACCUCGUAUACAUGGUGUUGGGACUACAAUUUAGUAUCACCAGGACUGGCCAACCUCAAGCCACUUUCUUGCUUUCUUUCAUGGGGGAGGAUGAAGGGAGAUGCUGAGUGCUGGGACGGCAGCUAUGUACCCCCACUUCUGCAUCUUUCUUGAUUUCUGAGGUCUCAGUCUUCUACUUUAACAGAGAAUCUAACUUUUGAACUGCAAAAACUGAUACGAGGUCCAAGUGGGACAUAUGGAAAUUCAUAGAAAAACAAAACAGGUUGUUUUGCUCUUUCUUUUUAUUAAAGAUUUAUUUUAUAUACAGUAGUGUUUUGGUUGCAUGUGUGGAUAUGCACCACAUAUAUGCUUGGUACCCACAGAUGCCAGAAGAGGGUAUCUGAUCUCCUGGAACUAGACCUAUAGGCAACAGCAAGCAAAGUCAGUGUUCUUAACCACUGAGCCAUCUUUCCAGUGCCUUCUGCCCCCUUGAAACAAGGUGUCAUUAUGUAGCCCAGGCUAGAUUUAAAUUGGAGAGUCUCCUUCCUUAGCCCCCUAGUGCUAAAAGAACAGAUGUGCAUCCAUACAGGAAGCUGGACGAUCUUUUAGCUUAAGAAUAUUUCUAGCCGGGCUGGAGAGAUGGCUCAGUGGUUAGAGCACUGACUGCUCUUCCAGGGGUUCUGAGUUCAAAUUCCAGCAACCACAUGGUGGCUCACAACCAUCUGUAAUGAGAUCUGAUGCCUUCUUCUGGUAUCUGAAGAUAGCUACAGUGUACUCAUAUAUAAUAAAUAAAUAAAUCUUUAAAAAAAAAAGAGAAUGUUUGUAGCCUUAAUAAUCAAUACAAGAUGAUAAGCCAGGAACUGGUGGUGCAUGUUUUCAAUCCCAGAACUGGGAAGGCAGACGCAAGUGGAUCUCUAAGUUCAAGUCUGGUCUGGUCUAAAGAGUGAGUCCCAGAAUAGCCAGGGCUCCACAGAGAAACCUUGUCUUGAAAAACAAAAAACAAAAACGACAAAAAAAAAAUUGUUCAUUGCAAUAUAUUUUAAAUAUUGAGACCAUCUCAAUAAAUACAGAAAAUGAUCUAUCUAUCCAGGAUAUUUCAUUAAAAAGGAAAAAGUAGUAAUGUUAUUUGGACAAGACUGUGACUUUGGCCCAGUGGUAGGGACAUUAGAGCCAUGGACAAAACCCACUGGAACUGCUAUCAAGGAAGAGGCACUUCCCUUUGGGAAGGAAAUGAGCAAUAAAGGAUUGAUGGCUCUCUAGAGAAUGAGUUCCUAGUCUACAAAGGCAAAGAGCAGCAGCUGUAAGACCUUAAUGCCUGUCUCCAUUCUCCAUACCACCCAAAGUCCAGUGUGAGAGAGGUGUCCACCUCAGAUUCCAAAAGCCUCGACGGCUAAAACCCCAUAAUCUCAAAGGCAGACUUAGAAAGUCACCACCGGAAAAGUCACUGUGAACUUGGGCAAGCCGAGUUAAGUCCUGAUCUACACCUUGGUCACAGCACACAUCGGCAUGCUCGGCCAAGGAGAAGUUAGAGAAAAGCCACUGCCCUUCACUGUUGUGAGAGUGUCAUCCAGGAAAUCAACAGUGACUUGCCAGCUUUGAGAUUCCCUGCCCAACCUACAGACUGACAACACUGUGGACUGAGCAGAGGCUGUCGGAAUCUGAGUGGUUUAUGAGAGAGUUGAAGUAGGAGAACAGCAGACGCCCCCUUAAGUAGCCACUCAGAAGCGUUUGCCUACCAGCUCACAGCAAGGCUCAUCUUAACCAGCGUGUGGUGCCCAUCUUAAGUCAUUCAGAGGGAGCCAGCCUAGUAAGGUAGGAACAAAAUAGCACAGCUUUCUCCGUACAGGACUCUUCCUGCAGAGACUGGAAGGCUCAGGUGCACCUAAGAUUUUAAUAUAGAUUGCAGCAGCAUUGCUGUGGUGCACCUAUGAUGGCACAGCAGGCUACCACUGCUGAAUACUUAAGUGUUUCUAAGAUACGAGCUCAGAAUCUGUAAGUGAGGUCUACCUGGCUCUUUACUGACCUCGUCAAACAAGAACCAGGAACAUGCCCACGAUGCCAACACCCAUGGUGCCAGCCUCUACCAGGCACAUAGUUCUGCAUAUGUGCAGCUGACAAACUGAUGGCAGAUGGGCGUUUCCGUGAUUGAAUCAGCAGAGCAAAUCCCUCACAUGGCUUCUGUGAUGUACAGGAGACACAGAAGAGAAUGGGACCUUGUACUGUGCCAUGAACAGGCCGUGCGCGAGGAGGGCUGGUGCCAUUUAGCCAAAGGGCUCCUGCUUAUAGAAGGGACAUCUAAUAAAUACCUCGUUCUGCAAUUAUAAUUAAAAUCAGGCACGGCCAGCAAUGGUCUCUGAGUGAAUGGAACAAGGAGACAUAGGUUAUGAGCUGACGGUUUCCGUUGCAGACCUGCUGAGUCAAAUGACUUUUAGGCUGCUUAUAUGGAAUGCUAUUCUGAGAGGAGACUUAAAUGAGGUGCGAGUGUGAGGUGAUAUGUACCAAGCAGAGGCUGUGGAGAGAAAAAGAAGAAAAGGAAAAUGGCAGCUUGCAGAAGAAACACAUGCACUUCAUUUCCAGACUACAAACAAGUUGAAGAUAUUUGGGCAAUUAUAGCUGGUGCCCCACUGCACAUUCUGGUACAUACUUCGGUACCCAUGAGGCUGCAUUAUUUGAGUUACUAGACAGGACCGUCCCGUCAUCCAGUAAGCAAGGUCAGUGCAUCUUAGGCUUCUACCCACAGUGUCUAAGUGCUCUGUUGGUCUUUAUCUCUGCUAACACUUGGUACUGCCUGGCAUUCUCACUCUAACUGUGAUGACGCCUAUGUAGUUUGUUCUAUAGUAGACUGACUUGCCUUUCGUUGAUAGCUAAGGAGGGUUGCAUGGCACCUUGGUGCAUGUUUUAUUGGUUAUCUGGCUGUCCUCUUUUAUGAUAUACUUCUUAAAAUAAUAUUUAUUAUGGUGAGAGGGUAGGAUUGUGGGGCAGGCACCCCAUAGUAUGCAUCAUCUCAGGACGAUUCUGGGGAGUUGGGUCUCUCCUUUCACCUUUUCGAGGGAUCUGGGGAUUGAACUCAGGUCACCAGGCUUCCACGACAAGCCCUUUUUCCUGGUGAGCCGUCUUGCCAGCCCAUGGACGUUAUCUUUAUAUGGCUCUUGUUUGUGGUUGGCUAACUUCUUGCAGAAGGUUGUUUAUGUUCUGCACGUGAGCAGUUUGUUAGACAUGCUUAUCGGCAACAGUCCUUCUUAUGCGGUGGUUUGCUUUUAAUUUUCUUAAAAGCAAAUCUUUAAGAUUCGUUUGAAGAGACUUUGUUAGAAAGCCUGACUUGUGGCCAUUGUCCACUGUAAGUCACGGCAACGCGCUUUUCCUGAGAACUGCCUCACGACAGUAAAAGCGCAUGCUGUUCAUCCAUCGAGAGGGUGGCGCUCAGAAGGAACUACCCGCAAGCUCCUGCCAGGGGAACAGAGCUGCUCUGGCUCUUGCUCCUCUCUGAGACUGGCUGUUCCUCAACUCUCCCUUUAACAUUUCUCGUUGGCCAAUGUUUAUUUUUGUUGCUGGUAACCAAAGAUGCCAACUGGUUCCUUAACUCACAGUUUCUUCCCUUGAGGGUCUCCAUGCUUACCCAUCACUGUAUUGGCCAUAUUCCUAAUUGUUGGGAUCUGACAGGCAGCAAUUUAAGGAAGAAGGGUUUGGCUCACAAUCUAUGAAGGGCUAUAGGUCCUCAACCUUCCUAAUGCUGAGACUGGUUAGUACAGCUCCUCAUGUUGCGAGGCCUCCAACCAGAACGUUAUUUCCGUUGCUACUUCAUAACUAUGAUUUCACUACUGUUAUGAGUUACAAUGUAUCUGACAUGCAGGGCAUCUGAUAUGCAACUCCUGUGAAAGGGUCAUUCAAGUCCCAGAGGGGGCAUGACCCAUAGUUUGAGAACCAGUGAUUUAGAUGACCAUGGUGGUUGAGUAUGGUAAUCAGGAAGCAGAAAGCUGACAGGAAGUAGUACAGAGUUAUAAAACCUGAAAGCUUAUGCCUCGCCAUCAGUGACCCAUCUCCUUCAGCAUGGCUCCUCCCACUUAAUGGUUCCACAACCUUCCCAAACAGGUGAUGACAGGCUCUGAUACACCAACCUGUAGGGGGGCAUUCUACAUUCAAACCACAAUGGUACCCAGCACAGCCUGAACAAUGACAUUAUAUGAACAGAAAAUUCACCUUCAAGGAAUUCAGUCCUCAUCCGUCCAUGAUUACGGCAGGAUGAGUUUUAAAAACAGGCUUCUGAUAUGUCUAGGAGAAAUAAUAACAUGUUCCCCUCGGUAGGGCACAGAAGAAAGGGGAAAUGCAGCUAACACUGAGCAUCUCCAAUACAGUGCGAGCAUACCAGAACACUCAGUCUUUAGUGAGCACCAGCAGGGACAGCCCGAAGCUGUGCCCAAGGAACAAGUAAGUAUCCUGUCCUAAGGUGGUUAUCAUCAUAAGCGCUGAUUUAUUGAAAUGGAAGGGCAAACAGUAACUAGGUAGCUCAGAGGAGUUCUAAAUAUCAUCUAGCAGGCAGGGAGGCACACGGCUAAGAAACACUGCUAUAACCAGGGACUCAUCUCAGUGAGCGUUCUCUCCAGUCCUCUGGGGCCAGCGCUAAGCAGGGAGACUGACAAAACAGCACAGUCAUGCGUGCCUCUGAAGGCGCCUAAGCUGGUGGACUGUGGAAACACUGGCAGAGGGAGGAGAAUAGGAGGCAUCCCUUGACUGCAUCUCUCUGAAGUGCUUUCAGAACACCAGUGUUGUCGUCUUCAGCCCACCCAAGUAGUGGCAAAGCUUCAUCUCCGGGCAUUGAGUGAGUGUUGAUUUUUUUUUCAGAACAGUUGGAAUUAACGCUGAUGAGCGAACAUCUGAUUUUAAAGGGGCAUCCCAGUAUAGAGUAGAAGUCUGGAUCCGACUGUCUUUUGGCUGGUGUCUGACGGCGAAGCUUGGCUUAAAUUUCCUAAUGUGUCACGGAGGAUUAAUACUGCAUGCCACGGUGAGGUUGAUAGAUAGGAUAACAUAUCUCGAGCCAUUAUGUUUUUGAUUUUAUUAUUGUAAGGAAGAAGGAUGGCUUCUGUCUACUGAAUAUAAAUUGGUUCAGAAAAGACUUCCGAAAUUUAUAAGAUUUAGCCAUUGUUAUGAUCAUUAGUCACCAUCGGGACUGAUAUUUUCUCUGGAUUAUGUGCAAUCCAGAUCAGGCCAGAAAUUAGUUUUAGGCCUGUGAGGGGACAAAGCACAACCACAGCACCCAUGUGAGGACAGGAGGGUGCUUGGUCACAGGGAACCUCUUGGUGUCUGACCACCUCGGAGCCCAGUAUCUCGUGUCCCGUGGAGGGAGACAGAGAAGCCAGGCAGUUUUUCAGACCAGGAAAAAAAGAGUAGAUGGAGGAAGAAGGCACUCUCAAGGAACGCAUGUGCCCAGAAAACGCGAUUCUAUUUGAAUACACAGAGGGGUUGCUGGGAGAGUUAGAACGGGUACCUCUCUCUUCCUGGUAAGAUUUAGUGGGCUGUGUCUUCAAAACUCCAGCCAGCUAUCUGCUGCACAGUACUGGCCGGGUAGAACAGGCUGACCCGACAGAAGAACCAGUUGUGCAUGAGCUCGAUGGCGUUUGCUUGCCCUGCUUCGUGGCCCUGGAAAUAGACUGUCAAAUGCCCCCUAGACUAAGUAACUGGGUCUCAGUGUCUUUAUCGGUAAAAUGAGAGGACUCGUAUUUACUUCCCAGUACCAGGAAAAUUAAAUGAUCUCGGGAGAAAUAGUUAUCACACUGUCUGGUGCAUGCCCCUGCUUGAGUAAGAUGUUCUUACGGUCAUUAUUAUUGGUUUUAAACAAAGGAGGAAAUACCAAAUAUUAGAUCUAAAUUAUAGUUUGAGAGUUUGCUGAAUCUUGAUCAAUUACUGUAUUUUUGAAGGAUGAUGUUUCUUCAAAUAGUUCUUUAGGCUUUCUUUUCAUUUAUUUUUAUAUUAUUAUGUAUAUAGGUGUCUUAUUUACACAAAUAUUUGUGUACCAGGUACAUACAGUGCCUGUGGAGGCCAGAAGGAGUUGGAUCCCCUGGAAUUAGAGUUACAGAUGCUUGUGAGCUAUCUUGUAGGUACUGGGACUCGAACCCAGGUCUUCUGGAAGAGUAACUGGUGCUUUUAACUGCUGCUCUGUCUCUAGCUCCACCCCUUUUCUUAAAUCUAUAUAAAUUUGGAGCAUCACUGAGUUAAGAUAAUUUUUUAAAAGUUGCUUAGUGGACUAUCUAGGCUGUGUGCUCUCAGAGCUGACUGUUCCUCAGACUGGUGCUGUGAAGGAUGAAGUUCUACUAAGUAGUAGUCUUACAAGGUCAAUCUCUGGGCCAUAAAGGAGAUCAAGAGUAAUUUCGUUUUAAUCAUGGCUGCAUAUCCAGAAGGACAAUGACUAUGGGACUUCCUCAGUGGGAAAAACAGGAACUAUUAAUUUUCUCAUUUACUGACUCUUUUGAAAAUAGACAGGAGUUUUCCCAUGGACAGUCAGACAUAAGUGCCAAAGACAGAAAGAGUCUAAGCCAAAGGUGGUGUCCUCCGAGUAUGUUCCACACAGGUCAUCAUCCUCACAGUUCAGAACAGUGGCUCUGUUAAUGAUGGAGAAGGUGUAGGGCAGGAGAAUGUGUACCUAGGUGCCCAAAACCCUGCUCUUUGGCUACAGAAUUCAUUUACUAUUGCAAACCUUUUACAUUUCAAAGUAAGGGAGAUGCUUCAGAUGAUCCUGGAGUGUAGACAGGAUGAAUUCAUAUCCAUAUUUCUAAGACCCAUAUUCAUUUUUUUAUUAUGAAAUGCAACCAUGCAAGCCACCAGACAGAUUGUUUUAAGAAAGCUUUUUUUUAAAAAAAAAAAUCACACAGCUUUGAUGAGGCACGAAUGAUGAACAAGUAAUGAUAAAAUAUGAAUUCAUGCUAGCAUGUAUAUACGGUGCUAUCCUGCAGUGACUACAAAGCCAGCUGCUUACCCCUCAUCAUACCUGCUGACUGUCACGGUUUCACCAUCUGUGGCGAUGACAGACACACUGUCCGUGGACCUUCAUGAUGACUCAUUUAAUUCUAACCCAUGAACCCUAAGGCUCUGUGGAGUUGCAGAUAGACGGGCCAGCAUGAACGGCUUCUACCAGCUCACUGUGGCCAACACAUAAGAGGUGGCAGCAUCAGCAAUGGUGGGGGAGUUUAAGUGACACAGAUCCAAGGAGUCUCAUUGGCUUCCAGGAGUUUUAAGUUAAUUACGCUAUUAUUUACCGUAUGCCAAGCUCUUGGGCCACGGGCUUUAGAUCCAGCAUUGUCAAACCCUCCAUUAGUGUUCCUUGUUUGUGGGUUGGAGGAAUAGGGUUGGAGAGGGUUCCUGACCAUCUGUGCUGUCAGCUCUUUCAUGGCAGAGGUGACAGGAAAGCUCCUGCUUCCUUUCCUGUGUCCUCUUUGCAGGUCCUGUGAUUCACAUCCCUUUUUGACAAGCCUGAAAGUCCUCUGAGGUCAGAUGCCUGUGAAAGGUCAACCCUGGAUCUGAUCUUUCCUCUGAGGUUGGAUGCCUGUGAAAGGUCAACCCUGGAUCUGCUCUUUGACUUUCUAAAGACCAAUUCUUCUGAGUGUCAAGUGUUUCUGUGACUGCCUAUCAUGAAGUCCUCUGGCAACUCUCAUCGGCCUUUCUUCCUCAUCUGUGCCUGCGUUUGUUUAAUGCUUGAUCUGAGCUAAAGGGCAAGCACAUGAGGACUGGGAGAAGGGAAGAAAUUAGCCUAGAACCUAGACUCACUUCCUGGAAGAUGGAGUAGAAUUCGUAUUCUUUUUAACACACUGUAUUUCAAACUACAAAAGCAGGAUGGCAUAAUGCAAGAGCAAUGUGGCAGAAAAAUCUGGGGCCCAGGCUUCCAACACUACAUUCCUGCCUCUCCACCUCUGCUCUACUCAGCUCUCCUUGUCUCCUUGCUAUUUUCCAAUACAACCCCGAUACCAAAAGAUGUCAAACAUGAAGAAAUGUUGGGAAUGGCCGAAAGAGAACAGGUUGUCCUUCAGAAAUAUGUUAAAAAUAAAACAAAACAAACAAACAAAAAAAUUAGCUGGCACACCUUUACUCCCAGCACUCUGGAGUGCAUUGGAGACCAGGCUUGUCUACAGUGUGAGUUCCAGGGUCACACAGGGGAACCCUGUCUCUAAAAACCAAAAACAAAACCCAAACCAAACAAAUCUGACCAACCAACAACCACAGAAACCAUUACAGCGUGCCAGUCACCAUGCACACCCGCACACACGCAUGGGCUGUUAGAUAUUUGCAUCUCCGGACAAUUCUAUAAGAGACGCUGUUAUGAGUUUGAAAUACGAUGGGCAGGAUGAGGUGUGGCGGUUAAAUGACACAGCUGCUGGCUGUACAGUUAGGAAGUGGUUCAGCUGAGCUGUGAAAGCAUUUCCCAUGAGAAGAAAUGGAUCUGCUUCACUACAUGUUCUGAAAAAGUCCACUAACAGGCCAGAGGCUAGGAAAGCCGGAGAGUGUUUACAGCUGACCUUCUCUGGAACUAGCCAAGGGGCAUCAGCUAGGAAAGCACCAUGACCUAGCUUAAUAACUUUGCUUGUGUGAAGGAAGGAACAGCCAUGCUGCUUGGGAAGAUAUGGGCCUUAUGCCUUGGCUGCUUGUCAACUCAAUUACUUCUUGGUCUUUGGCCAACAUGACACCGUACUGCCUCUACCUAAAUGAAUAGGCUACAUGGAUGUCUGUAGUGGUUGUGCAGCUAGGUGUAAAGCCACCAGGCACACCUUCCAUUCUUGGCUGAAACCCCUUCCUGUCUAUAAGGAAGGGAGAUCAUGUGUUUUGUCUUAGUCACUCUGCUCGUCCUGAAGUGGCUCAGGGAAGUGGCUCAGAACGUGGCUAGAACUUAAUCUGUUUAGCGUGAGUGUAUGACCAAGCUCAUAGACAUUUCUGUACCAGUGGGUGUUGGUGAAAAAACGACACCAGCAACAGCCAGACAGACAACUAACUCUGUCUUUAGACCUCUUUAGAGAGAGAGGACUACAAGGGAAACAACCAGUUUUACCUGCCCUAACACUUAUCUGGGUUUGAUCUUAAAAUAAAUGGGAAUGGCCUGGGCUUCAAGAGUCUAGAGAUGUCAGGCUUCUGACUGAACCCUAAUGUUUAGGCAACGCCCCUCGGGUGUUUCCUCUGAACUGGAAGACUCAGGGAGACCAAAGGAGGUGAGUGAGUCCCUCUAAGCUUCUCUUCCUGAAGGAUAACAGUCCAUCACUCCUCCAAAGUAAGGGCUCUCACCCUUCCUUCCAGGUAUCCAGACAAACCUUAGGGCUUAGACUCAAAAUGAUCCCUUCGGUUUUUUGUUUGUUUUCAGGUACAAUGGGUAGGAUUAGCUAUGAUUUCACAAGUCAUUCUUCUGUAUUUACUGUAGCUGCACAGAGUUAUAGAGACCUGCCAACCAAGUCGUUUGAAAACAGAAAUACUUUUCUGCUUGUUUCUACCUUUUUGGUUGUCUUAUUUUAAAUGUGAGCAUCCUUUCAUUCAAUACUUCCCUUAAGAAUUCUGCUUAGGGGGUUGGGGAUUUAGCUCAGUGGUAGAGCGCAGCGUAAGGCCCUGGGUUCGGUCCCCAGCUCCGGAAAAAAAAGAAAAGAAUUCUGCUUAGUUGAGGACCCUGCUGAACACAAUUACCAAGGCUCAGUCCUGUCUUUCUCCAUCUCCCUCCCCUCACCCUCUCCCUACCUUUUCUCUUCUGACACUCUUGUUUGAUCGUCCAAGGCCCUGCUUCAUAAUUUCUGACCCAAAAGCCUUUCAGUACAGCCAAGGAAAAUGAAAACCUGCCUAACGACCAGAUCAGUGAUGGGAAUCUGGAGGCUGUAGGUCUGAGGUCAAGGAGGAAAAAGACAAGGGAAGCAAAGCCUCACACCCUUGAGUGUGUGGCUAAUAGAUCCUUGUGGAUCUUCCUUCCAUACAGCUCGGUGCACACAGCGAUUCACCUCAUUUCCAAGUGGCUCUACACAGAUAAAUGACGGUAAGCACAUCCGACGGGGACACUCCUCAGAGUCCCCAGUCACAUGAAAUUUAAAGACAAUCUGCUGUUCUGGAACUCUUUCUAGACCAGGCUGUUCUGGGACUUGAGGUCCACCUGCCUCUGCCUCCCAAGUACUGGAAUUAAGGGCGUGUGUUACCACCAUCUCUGAGAAAUCGCUUCAAGUUUCUCAUUAUUUAUAUGAUGGACUUAAAAUCCCCACAUUAACUGUCAAAGUCACUACUGGCCAGGACAGGCCAUGGGUUUCUGGCCUGGGGCACACUGCAGAGCCAAGGACAGCAGUUUAAGGGAGACCAGGGGACUCAAGGUUGCAAUAAUGAGACAUGACAACUUACAAAAGAUACAAAUGUGGACUGCUUUGAAAUGGUAUGUUUUGGCUUUAGUAUAAAAAAACCAAUUCAAUUAAAAUUUUUGGUGGGAAGAGGUACUAGACUUAAACCCAAGGCCUUGCUUGCUUGCUCAUGCUUUGCAAUUACCACUAAGCCCCUCCCCUCCCCCACAAGUGCAUUUUUAGCAAUAAUACCCCCUAAACCCAGUGCUCUUUCUAAAAAAGGCUCAAGGUGCUGGGUUUUGUUUUGUUUAAAGAUUUAUUUAUCUAUUAUGUAUACAGCAUUCUGAUUGUAUAUAUGUCUGCGGGCCAGAAGAGGGCACCAUAUUUCAUUACAGAUGGUUGUGAGCUACCAUGUGGUUGCUGGGAAUUGAACUCAGGACCUCUGGAAGAGCAGUCAGUGCUCUUAACCCCUGAGCCAUCUCUCCAGGCUUUGAAGUGAAAAACUGGGCUAUAAGAAUGAUAAUAAUCACACAGUGUAAUAAAACCAAUUAAGCCAAAACGAUUGUUAAAGUCCAUACUUUGCCGUUCUUCCAGAAGACCCAGGUUCUAUUUCCAGCUCAUAACCAUCUGUAACUCCAGUCUAAGGGAAUCUGAAGCCUACUUUAGGCCUCCAUGGUACCAGGCCCACAUGUAGUAUAUGGAUAUAUGUAAAAGCAAAUCGCAAAUAUAUAGUAAUAUUUCGAUUAAGGUUUACUAAUUUUAUUCAUUAUCCCAGAAAGAACUAAAAUUAGCUCCAAAAUCCAGAGUGUUCCUUGUCCCCAACAGAUACACCAAGCUGCAGCCCUGAGUAAUAAAUGGGGUGUUUGGGAAACCAGCCCUGAAGUCUACACCACUCGCUGACUGAUCUUUCUCCCCAGAGUUCCCAUCACAACACCCCCAGCCCAUCCAAAAAACCAAAACGAACCUCUCCAUUCCUCACUCUUUCUUAGCUCUUUUCAGUAACCAACACAGGCAUCCUUUUGGUCAGGAAAACAACCCUGGCCUGGUCUGGCUUCUCCAAACUCAACGGCCAUCCAGAAGCUUUCCCUAUUUCUCUCUGUUAGCAAAAAGAAUUAAAGGAAGUUUCCAAAUGUGGCCAUGGACAGAUAGCUCUCAAAAGAAAUGCCUCACUUAAGAAAAUGGAGGGAAAUGUUCUGGUGUGCUAUUUAUUGAUUAUAGAUUAAGCCUCCGCUCCUUCCCUGCCUUACACCUCUUUAAGGGACAAAGGAUUUGAGAUGUCCCUCCAAUCAGAUUAAGAUUUCUCCCUGCCUGCCCAGGAUUCUGGUGAAGAAGUUGCUUCAUUGAAUUGUCACAGAAAGAAAGCAGCUGUCUCCCAGACAAUGAAGUUACUGGCGCUCAAGCCUUUCCAGUAGGCAGGGACAAAGCUGGCAGAAUUCAACCUGUUGCUAUAGUAGCAGGAAGAAUGUGAUUCUGGCAGCUCUGUGAGAUCAAGAUCCAAAUCCCUCCAGCUCCCAGAGAGAACAUUAACCCUUCCCUGCCCCUGUCCAGGGGCAGAAAUACUUGGGAAGAACCCUGCUUACCUCAGUGCUGGAUGCAGUCCUCUUGGCAUCCAAUCAUGCCAUCCACCCAAUGCCCAUUGAUUUACACGCCCUUAUGCAGGUCCUGUGCUUUCAUGGAAAGCAAGGCAGGCAUGGCCUUUGGCAUUAAGCAUGAAGGAGGAGGUGGAUAUUAAGUUAUUGCUAAAACCACAACACAUUAUGCAGUAUCAGUAAAGGCAUUACCAGAAAACAAUCUAUGUAAGAUAGUCAGAGUAUUCAUUAGUUAACAGUAGACUGUAUGUUCUGGGUGAGGGAAAUGACUUGAUAACUUGCCAGUGUUAAUUUGAAAAAACAACAACACUAGAAAUGUCUGCCCCAGUGCUCUCAUGCCUCCCACAAAUUAGUUUAAAUAAGCCAUUUAAUUAAAUCAAGCUUUUGAUUUAUAAGAGUAGCAAAAUUACAGUUAGGAAGUAACAACAAAAAAUAAUUUUAUGGUUGGGAGUCACCACAACACGAACUGUAAUAAAGUAUUGUAGCAUUAGGAAAGUUGGGAACCACUGUGUUAGAGAAUGAUGUCACACAAGUGCUGAACAUGAGGCCAUGGUCCCUCGUGUAUAGUUCCCGGCAGGCAACAGAAAUGCCAGAUAGUACUUAGAAAAUACACAAAGAAGCAGUGUCCAGGCUCUCUAAAACAGUUCCCACACCCCAGUUCAUUUCUGUGGUCAAGGUACCAAUGAAAAACCUUUGGAAAAUACACCUUAGAAAUGACCUAAGUCUAAUCCAGACUUCUUUCCUUACACUGAGAGUGGAAAUCUCAGGUUGUCGGACACGCCUCCUUGAUCAACUUCCUCAUUUCCCACGGAGCACAGACACAGGAAAUCGGAGUUUUCUCAGGAGGCUAAAAGCAAGUAGGUAGUGUUUAUCCCAUAAGCUAUCAGUGAAACAAGACAGCAGCAAUCAGACUGCUAAGCAAAAGAGCUGAGAAGAGAGGGGGUUGGGAGACUGCUUGCUGGGCGAGCAAAAGAAGAGGUUUAAUUUCAGUCAGAGGCCUUUUCUCAAAAAUGAAGGUGGCGACUGGGUGGAGUGGAACAAGCCAGCCCUUGGGAGGCUGAGGCAGAUCUCUGUGAGUUCAAUGUCCUUGGCAUCUCAGUUGUGCUGGGCUGCAAGGUAAAUCUGACCAGAGCACACUGAAGCAAAACCACGAAUGUCACAGGCAAAGCUUAUCAACUAGUGGCCUCAACUAAAAUCUUCGGGCCAAGGAUAUGAUCUAAUAGCCAGCUCCGGGAAGGUCACGAUGUAGCUUCAGCUGGCAUUGAAACACUGAUUUCCUACCUCAACAGGAGGCUCAGGCUACCGUUAGAGGAGGGAAGAUGAACUCCCAGGAUAGGACACUCAUCCACAACACCUGAGUUAGGAUCUGGGAGAAGAGCCCAAGAACCAGACUUGAUAGAAACUGGUCACUUUUUACCCUGAUGUAAUAAAUGACAAGGAAUGUCAUAGGACCUGGAGUAAUGAUGUCACCUGUUGCUACUCUCCUGGAGUUGGAGAAGAGACAGCCAACAGAGUGACCUGCAUGCUUAAGACGUGGAGGACAAGGUGGGUGGAAAUGGAGACAUUGCGGAAAGAUUCCAGCUAAUUCUUGGCACCACUCUUUAGGAAACCUCAUCAGAUAGAUCCCAAUGGAGUCUGAUGCUACUUCUGCAUGACCAGGCGUAAAAAGAUUCGCUCCGAAGGCAGACCUUGUCUGUCUCUUGGCUGCAAAGGGAUUCAACAAUGGCUCCUUGAUCCUUUCCAAAGAAGGAAAUGGUGUGGUUUCUACACAUGCCCUUUCCCCAUAGAAGGUUGAGGAACUAGGCACUAUUAUCUGCCUCAGGCACACCUUCUAUUGAUUUUAUUUUAUUUCUUGAGACAGGGUUUCUCUAGUAGCCCUGGAACUUGUUAUGUAGAUAAGAUUGGCCUCGAACUCACAGGUAGCUGCCUGCCCCAGUACUGGGAUUAAAGGUAUGUCUAGCCUGUGGUUAUCUGUGGCAACAAUUGACAUAUCCAACCCAGGAGCUCACCUGUAGGGUAAGAGUUAAAAUAGUGUUUGCUUUUCCUUAACAUGUAAUAGAAAUAAGAGAGCUCUGAGAAUUUACCUCACUAUACCAUAGAUCUAGGGUCCUAUUUCCUUCUUAAUGCCUAGGACUCAUGAGUGCAUUCCCAUGUUCUCAGCUCCAGGAAACACAAGGGUAAAUAUUAUACAAUUCUAGUUAUCAAUCCGGACCUGUGAGCCACCCCCCCCCCCAUCUAGCAUCAGGGCCAAUGUGUUUUCUCUGAAGACAAUAAUAAAGUGGAUUUCUACAGCUAAAAUUAGAGUCAGUAACAAAGUUGGAAACACCAAAUGUUACUGACUUAAGUACUGGGCAAACUAGAAUCAUUCCAUUUGCAGUAAUAACAAUCCAGUGGAUUGGCAAGACCACACAGUUACUGGCUUUUAACCUUGGCCAAUCCAGACUUUUGUGAUCUACAGAUUCUAAGCCCCAUAGACAAAUAACUGAUGAAACACCCUAACACAAGAUACAGGCCAUGUUGUUAAAAUCAUUAUGGUAGUGGGAACACUCAAAUUGAGGACACCUCACCCAACACCAACAUAACAGAAUUCCAUGUGCUGACCAAAUCAAUUCUGUGAUGACAUAGAUUAGUUGACACAAAAUUGUGUGCAGGAACUAGGGCCAGGUAGAUAAAAUGUAUAAGUUAGCUGUGAGUUACAUAAAAAAAAAAAAGAAAAUCUAAAUUCUAUCUUAAAACAAGAAGCCCUUGUUAUUGGUCAUGGGUCUAUGGGGGGGGGGGGUUUGUCUGCUCUGUCCUGGGUCAUUCAAGUGUCUGGACAGCUGGCUAGUACAAUCACCUGGCGGAAGUGUAUCACUGUAAGCCAUUCAUGGAACAUCUAUUGCAAGAGAGCAAGCACAAUUGUAUGAAGUCUCCCAAGAUCUGGACUAAGAAACACACACUUUACUCCCACAUUUCAACUGGCCAAAUCAAGUAAUGAAGCCAAGUCUAGAUUGGAAGUCUGGGAAAAACAAACAGCGCCACUUGGCAAAAAGGAGUCACAAAACCAUGUUGCAGUGGAAUAGAUUCAAAGACAAUGACUGGAUCUAUUUUUUUUUAAAUUGCAAUCAAUUUAUUACACAGUAUAGGAGAAAAAUGUCAUUCCAGCCAUGUGUGAUUCCCAACCAAGGGUCAUCAUUUUGACUUUCCUCUAGAAAAGAUACAAGGUUCUCAGAUUAAAGCUUCAUCCUGGGGCUGGAGAUGGCUCAGUGGUUAAGACCACUUGUUGCUCCUGCAGAAGACCCAGGUUCAGCUCUCAGCACCCACUGUCUGCAACUCUAGCUCUAGGGAUCCAACACCUUUUGGCCUCUGAAGUCACUGCAUACAUAUGUUAUACAUUAAUUCAGGCAAAAUAGUCAUAUGUAUAGAAUAUUCUUUGCUGGGCAGUGGUGGUGCAUGCCCUUAAUCCUAGCACUCAGGAGGCAGAGGCAGACUGGGUUCUCUGUGAGUUCAAGGCCAGCCUGGUCUAAAGAGUGAGUACAGUCAAGACUAAACAGAGAGACCCUGUCUUGAAAAGAAAAGCCAAGCCCUCCCCCAGACCUCCGGAAGCUUCAUUUCUUUCCACUUCUGCCUGUGCUUUGCGUAUGCACGCACACACCUUAAAGUCUUUAGGACCUCAGCCUUGCACCAAACAAGAGCCAUCUGGUUGCACCUGAAGAUGUACGGGACCUGUAUGUUGUCAGGGCAAACCUGUUUCUCCUCGGCGUCUCUUCUUAGCUUGGGAUGGAAAUAUAGAUGGCAUUGCGGAUGAGAGCUACAUCCUUGGAGAAGCUUGGCAUGAACGUGGAGCCCCAGGGCUUAGGAGGUAAUGCUACCUGAAGCAGAUGACAGGUAGGAGCUGCAGGCAGCCUGGGGAAGAAGGAAGCUGGAGCUUGCUGUAGACCAUAGGCUGAUAGUUACUCUACUUUAUUGGAGGGCUGCUACUGCCACUAGCUACCUCCUCACGCUUUUUCUCGGCCUCACUCCUCUUUGCCCCAUGGUCACUACUUAGGCAAAAGCUACCUGGUUACAUCUGCAAACUGUUUUUCUUGAUCUAGGUCCCGACGUGUAUACAGCUGGCAGUUAUUAUAUGGCAUCCCCACAAAGUACGGCAUGGCUUCUGUUUUGUUUUGUUUUGCUCUGGAAUAAUCACCAUGACCUUUUGGACACUGUCACUCGCCAUCGCCACUGGAAUGCUUUAAUUUCCAGACUUGUGAGGUCUGGACAGCAUGGGGUGGAAGAAGAAGGAAUUCCAGAAACCAGAUCACAGCAUAAUAGAGGAGACAGCUCUACUGGGAAAUGCCUGAAGGCUCCUUGGAGGGAAUUCUUCAAGUGAGAAGGAGACUACACAACUUUCUCAGAAACAAAGCUGCCUUGAGUUGAUCGCCCAACUCUGACUUACUAACGUAAGUCUAGUUUUCAACCUGCCGAGUAGGGUCAACCCUUAUAAGACCAAGCACCGGGAGUGUAAAACACAAGAGAUGGGAAAUUCACAAUGAAGAAGCCUCAGAAGAGCCAAAUUGAGCAAACACAGCAUCCAAUUUGUUUCAAUACAAAAACCUGGGUCAUUAAAACACCAACGAGAAGAGUCCACUACACUCUUCCAAAAUGCAUUCUGUCCCAGAGUUCCAGUUCUGGAGAAAGACAGGUUUGACAGGGAGUGAUAUAAUUUUACCAUAAGGUGAAGUAUUCAGUGUGUGGAUGCUGACAGAGCCAGAAAGUCUCUCAGUGCCAAGCACUGUCUGGGUUGGCUCGGUAAUCAUCCAUUUGCUCUCUGUCAUAAUUGGACAGUCACAGAUUUAAACCUGUAAUUUCCAGGUAAAACCACUCUGCCACUGGGUUUCUCACUUCCGCUUCUCAACCACUUGGCGUCAAAACAAGUGCCGUUCUUGGAUCAGAAGAUGAAGAGCUGGCUGACUGGGAGGCAGUCAGUCACUCUCAGCUUCUAAUUAGCCGAGGGGAAGCCACGCGGAUAAGGAAGCAAACAUCUGGCAUUACCACUCCAGGAACACCGAUAAUGACAAUGAAGGCAGGCUACCAACUCCUCAGCCAAAGGCACACGGGACUUCCUACAGACCGGAGGAGGAGCAUUUCACAGGGAUCCCCUCCCCCUCAACUCUCACAAACCAGCAGGAGACUCAAGUGCUCUCCUGGCCUCAUUAGUUUCCUAGUUUUGUUUUUAGCUGCUCAUUGCUGCUCAAAAGCCCAGGUAUGUACGGUAGAGGCAGCUCCUUGUACAGAAUCCCAGUGCCGCCUCCACCGAGAUGCCAAAGAAUGAUGCAUUUGGCACCUGAGCCUGUGCCAGACGUCCACAUGUAUCACGCAGGGCGCCUCAGCUUAGGGCCAUUUCAAUCGUGGUUUCUGUUCUGCUUGCCUCUCAGCUCAGCGUCUUCCCACUCUAAUGCAAUCACGAGAUAAUUCCUCAGGGCUGGUGAGAGCAUAUCGUGUCUAGUUAACUUCACCGCUUGCCUUAUUUCGCCUUUAACACACUGUUCUUUUAUUUCCCUCUCCCAGGUAUUAGCUGAGGCUGGACCAGGAACCGGAGGCAGCAGCUUUAUUCCUUUGAAUGCUACGGCUCGUUUUCAGAAUAACUGAAGCACAGCUAACAAUGCACUAUUUGAUCGCUCUGAAUGACUCUCACCCACAGCACUGGGCGAGAGGAGCCCUUGGCCAGAGCUGCACACCAGAAACCUGUUUCCCAGCCUCUUCCAUUAGCCCGCCGACCCUUUCCUCAGAGCCCUCAGCAUACUGUACAAAGAUCUCCGUUCUCUCCCUUAAAUAUCACGGGAAGCUCACAUCAAAACACCAGACCCUUUUCUUCCUGGAAUGCUGCCAAUUUAAUACUUUCAGGCUCACAUAAAUUUAAUUAAACUCACUUAUCUUUUAAGCUCCCCCAUCCCCCAAACCACCUCUUGUCACCUCUCCACAGUAAAACCUUUCAAAAUAGGACUUUCUCUUUGCUUUUCAGCCAAAAAUGUCAUGCAGGCUUUACUUUAAGGCUAUAGCCAUCAGAUGUGCGCUACAAUAAGUCAGUCAGUAGGACCCAUGCAUUAAAAUGCCCACAAGCCCUUGA